rnacentral:rRNA from 1 species
AGGACAUAUGUUCAUGAAACACAUGAGCUAACUGUAAUAACAAGCAACAACGCGCAAGGAACUUAAUUUCAAAAUCUACCAGACGUCCUCGUUUGAAUCAUCAGUAAUUACAUCCAAUGUCUAAUCUCAAGCUAAUCAAUGAUUUCACAGAAAAUACAUACAAAGAAGAUCUUAAAGUAAAUCUAAACUUUCACCGAGACAUCUCAAACAACAUCAACCGCAUGAAGAAUAACACAUAAGUCCAGAACAAGACAUUAUGUUCAUGAAACACAUUGAGUUAACUGUAAUAACGUGCAGAAGCAGCAGGAAACUUAAUUUCAAAUCUACCAGAACGUUCUCGUUUGAAUCAUCAUUAAUCACAUCAUACUGUGUAAUCUCAAGCUAAUCAAACUCACAUCACAUCGCUAACUUUAAUUUCACAGAAAAAUACAUACAUAGAAGAUCUUAAGCUCCUAAAGAUCUAAACUUUCACCGAGACAUCUCAAACACAACAUCAACCGCAGAAGAAACAACACCUAAUGUCCAGGACAAAGACAUAUGUUCAUGAACUCAUUGAGCUAACUGUAGUAACGUGCAAAAGCAGCAGGAAACUUAGUUUCAAGUUCUCAUUGAAUCAAGAAUUGGUUUAAAGAAAAAUCAAACCUGAUGAGCAUCUUGUGAAGGGACGAUGUAAGCAUCGAUUCCAACGCCCGGCUUAGAAAACUGUUGCCGGAGCGCGGUGAGCUUCUCGUCCACAACUGCUUCGGCUCGAGCCUUCCGAAUCUCUUUGGAAGACUUCGCGGUGAAGCUGCUGCUAGCUUCGCACCUCGCGCCGAGGAGAUGGUUGCGCGGUAGUUUACGGUGGAUCAAAGGGAGGGAACUGAAAUUUCGGAGAAAAGGAGAGCGAGAGUAGCGGGAGGUGAGGAAAAGGAGGCGGUUCAGGGACGGCGAGGAAAGGGUUAGAGGAGUCAUCGCCGGCGAUGGCAGGAGAAUCACACAACGACUUGGAAGAGGAGAUGAUAAUGAACUAACUAGUGACAAAUUGCAAACCAACCCUUACAUUUAUAAAUCUUGUGUAAAUUAUUAUUAAUAGCAUACAAAUUGAAAGGCCCGGCCCAUUUAUAUUUCACUGUUUAUAGCAACUAACCAGAACAAAAAUUUGAGCCCGUAUAAAACGACAGUAUAACUAAUUGCUAAAAUUCAUGUCCACCAAGUUGAUAUUAUAUCUUGGGAAAUUGGGGCCUAUAUGCAUGAAAAAAGCAUAAUUAAUUGAGUAGUCAAUUACCCUAAUUUCAUAAACUGUAGAGAUACUAAAUAAUUCUGACAUAAAUUUUAUUAAUUUCUGAAUUCUCUUAAUUUAUGCAAGUGCCUUAAUCCACUGGUUCGACUGAUUCAUUGAUGCUUUUAGAUCGGUAAGUUUAGGGUUUAAAUCCUAGAAAAUAUAAAUUAUAUAUAUUAAAAAGAAAAAGCUACAAAAAAUCUUCAGUGGUGCAGGGUGUACCCCGACCGUAUCUCAUAAUGCAUUAGGUCUCCAAGGUGAACAGCCUCCUGGUCGAUGGAACAAUGUAGGGCAGGGAAGUCGGCAAAAUGCAUCCGUAACUUCGGGAAAAGGAUUGCGUCUGAGGGCUGGGCUCGGCGGUCGGUCCCAGUUCCGAAACCCCUCGACUGUUGCGGCUGUUUGUGCUUAACGUGGCGAGAGCGGACUGCCUCGUGUCGGCCGGGGGACGGACUGGGCAACGGCUCUUUCGGGAGCUUCCCAACCUGGGCUUCGAACAGCCAACUCAGGACUGGUACGGACAAGGGGAAUUCGACUGUUUAAUUAAAACAAAGCCUUGCGAUGGUCCCUGCGGAAGCUAACGCAAUGUGAUUUCUGCCCAGUGCCCUGAAUGUCAAAGUGAAGAAAUACAACCAAGCGCGCGGUAAACGGCGGGAGGUACUAUGACUCUCUUAAGGAAGCCAAAUGCCUAGUCAUCUAAUUAGUGACGCCCAUGAAUGGAUUAACGAGAUUCCCACUGUCCCUGGCUACUAUCCAGCGAAACCACACCCAAGGGAACGGGCUUGGCAGAAAUCAGCGGGGAAAGAAGACCCUGAUGAGCUUGACUCUAGUCCCACUUUGUGAAAUGACUUGAGAGGUAUAGAAUAAGUGGGAGCUCAGGAGCAAGUGAAAUACCACUACUUUUUACGUUAUCUUACUUACUCCGUGAAUCGGAGGCGCGGUAACAACCCCUUCUUUUAGACCCAAGACUCGCCUCGGCGGGUCGAUCCGGGCGGAGGACAUUGUCAGUGGGGGAGUUUGGCUUGGGCGGCACAUCUGUUAAAAUAUAACGCAGGUGUCCUAAGAUGAGCCUCAACGAGAACAGAAAAUCUCGUGUGCGAACAAAAGGCGUUAAAAGCUGCGUUAUGAAUUCUGAUUUUCAGUACGAAUACGAACCGUGCAAGCGUGGCCUAUCGAUCCUUUAGACCUUCGGAAUUUGAAGCUAGAGGUGUCAAAAAAGUUACCACAGGGAUAACUUGCUUGUGGCAGCCAAGCGUUCAUAGCGACUGUGCUUUUUGAUCCUUCGAUGUCGCGUCUUCCUAUCAUUGUGAACAAGAAUUCACCAAGUGUUGGAUUGUUCACCCACCAAUAGCGAACGUGAGCUGGGUUUAAACCGUCGUGAGACAGGUUAGUUUUACCCUACUGAUGCCCGCGUCGCAAUAGUAAUUCAACCUAGUACGAGAGGAACCGUUGAUUCGCACAAUUGGUAAUAGCGCUUGGUUGAAAAGCAGUGGCGCGAAGCUACCGUGCGCUGGAUUAUGACUGAACGCCUCUAAGUGAGAAUCCGGGCUAGAAGCAACGCAUGCGCCCGCCGCCCGAUUGCCUGCCCUCAGUAGGAGCUUCGGCUCCCAAAGGCACGCGUCGUUGGCUAAGUACGUUCGGUGGAAGCGCCGUUCGGACCGCCUUGAAUAAUAAUUACCACCGAGCGGA